rnacentral:lncRNA from 1 species
AGGCUGCCUCAGCUGGGCCCCUGGGCAGACUCCAGUCUCACGCCUGGGUCCCGACCCGCCUCAGGAAACUGACCUGUGCCCCUCGGAGCCCCGCAGUGUGCGUGCCCGCCGCCUCCAGCCAUCUGAGCCUCCCGCGCCGACCUCCCCACCCGCUUUCUGGAACUUUCGGGGGCCUCCGCCGGCCGCACAGCCCCGCCCUCCUUCCGGACCCUCAAAGCCCCGUCCCCAGGCUCCAGGCCUCCAGCCCAUCUGCCAGUGUUCAAAGGUGGGCAGGGUCCCCCUUGGGGCUCCCAGCUGUGUGUGGCCAGGGACAGCUGGCUUCACCCGAGCAUCUCCUACACAGUGUGGCUUGGCUCUUGUCGAAGUCAUAUAAAAUAG